rnacentral:rRNA from 1 species
UGGGGAAUUUUGGACAAUGGGCGAAAGCCUGAUCCAGCCAUGCCGCGUGAGUGAAGAAGGCCUUCGGGUUGUAAAGCUCUUUUAGUCGGAAAGAAAGAGUUGCAAUGAAUAAUUGUGAUUUAUGACGGUACCGACAGAAAAAGCACCGGCUAACUACGUGCCAGCAGCCGCGGGAAUACGUAGGGUGCGAGCGUUAAUCGGAAUUACUGGGCGUAAAGGGUGCGCAGGCGGUCUUGCAAGUCAGAUGUGAAAGCCCCGGGCUUAACCUGGGAAUUGCGUUUGAAACUACAAGACUAGAGUGCAGCAGAGGGGAGUGGAAUUCCAUGUGUAGCAGUGAAAUGCGUAGAGAUGUGGAAGAACACCGAUGGCGAAGGCAGCUCCCUGGGUUGACACUGACGCUCAUGCACGAAAGCGUGGGGAGCAAACA